rnacentral:rRNA from 1 species
UACGGAGGGGGCUAGCGUUGUUCGGAAUUAUUGGGCGUAAAGCGCGCGCAGGCGGUCCUUUAAGUCUGAUGUGAAAGCCCACGGCUCAACCGUGGAGGGCCAUUGGAAACUGGGGGACUUGAGUGCAGAAGAGGAAAGCGGAAUUCCACGUGUAGCGGUGAAAUGCGUAGAGAUGUGGAGGAACACCAGUGGCGAAGGCGGCUUUCUGGUCUGUAACUGACGCUGAGGCGCGAAAGCGUGGGGAGCAAACAGG